rnacentral:lncRNA from 1 species
GAAAAUGUCUCCAGUGCCAACUUCCUCUUCACUAAUCAUUGUCUCCUGUGUUUCCAAGGUACUCUGGAAUCCAGAGCACUUUAAUGCAUGCAGAAAAACCUGGUCUGUUACACUACUCUCAGGCUUCCCUGUGCCAAAGGCCUGGUGUUUUUCUUAGCAGAUGUGCACCUUAAAGUGGGAGCCAAGAUGUCUGAUGCAGUAGAAAUAGAUAUUUUUGCUCCAUUUUAAAGCCGAAAACAAUGUUCCCCAUGGUACUGUUGCAAGACUUCAAACAAGCUAAGCAAAACGAAACAUCUAGUGUUUUCACAAUCUGGUACCCAAUAGUAAAUGCUAGAUGACUUUCAGUCUCUAGUUGGUAGGACAUACACAACAGUGCAUAUGGGAAGGAGAAGAAAAGCUGGUAUACAUUGCUUCUACCUUCUUUUUUCUCUUGGCUUAAACUAUCUCCUUGUAGUCCAAUCUGUGAAGGAAUUAUAUAUUUGGAAACUAGAACCAGUAGUGCUGCUGUAACUCAGUGCCCUUUGGGACAACAAGAAGAUACAUGCCACCCGUGAAUGUCAGCAGUUCUGUGUUUGUGAAAGGCCAGGCACUUGUCUUUGUAUGGAAGACACAAAAGUGCCUGACUUUGGUGCCAUGACUUUCCUUCCUAAUGAUCCCCUGUAUGUGUAUUCAGAUGACUGGUUGAAGACUGGGCCCCAGUUGAAGUCACAAUGAUCAACAAGCAUCAAAAGUAUAAUGCUGCCUGAGUCUCUAGCCAAUGCCAGAGCUGAAAUCAUGAUACUAUCUUUAGACCACUAAUACUUUAAGCUUUUAGGUCACUAAUAUUCUGGUGGAGAGAUCUUCAGUCUUAUAAAAAGAUUGAUCUUCUGAGGAGACAUGUAUCCCUUUUUGCUGGUCUAGCAUCCUAUCAUCUUUCUCCCAGGGAAACCCAGUUCAAGUUUGCUUGGGGCUACCUCCUCUGUGUCCAGGACUCAGGUCAACACCUGACUUAGGCCUAACCACUGAGUAUAUCCCACCUGUCAGGGACCCAAUACUUGUUAAAAGACCUACGUGUAUUCCUAGAGUCUGCCCAGUAUUGAUUCUGCCAUGCCGGUGGGGGAAAGAACUGUUCUUUAGUCUUGGUAAUGGUAGCUGGCGGACGUUUUGCUAAGUAGGAGGCAUGCUCUCCAGAGAAAGAGACCACAGCAUCAGGAUUUAUCAGACCAACCAUGAGUUUCUUGGUUUGUGAACUAAUAGCCUCCUUUGUGGCCACUAAUGUUGUGAAUUGGAUAACUUUCACGUGUAUUCAUGACAACCCAGCAUGGGAAUUCUACCUAUCACUGAUGAGUUUAACUUGGGUACCAGUCAGUAUCAUGCCUAGUGAUUGGAAUGUGCCUAGCAGUUCUCUUAAGUGGGGGUUUUAUCAACAAGAAUAAAACUCAAUGACACAGCUUCAUGGAAAAUAGAUUAUCACAACCUUGUCACCUGUAUGGUUUGCUUUCAUUGGCAAAAUCUUCCCACACACUUAAAAAUAAAAGUCACAUUGCACAAAACUCAUAAGAUUAUUUUACUAGAACUUGAGGGAGAGAAAAUAUACUCUAGUUUUCACAAAGAAAAGAUAACUUUUACAAUGAACUCUGUCCAUAUAGAAGUCAUGUUCUAUUUCAGUUUUAAAUGCCCAGGUACCCAAGGAAUGCACCCUUCUCCUGGCCACGCACACAGUGAGAUGUCAGUAUGUAGCCAUCUUCUCAUGACCUCCAAUGGUGAGGAUCACUUUUCAUAGAUCUCAGAUAGCAGUCCUAAAAAGCUUCUGUUUCUCUGGUCUGUCUCCUCCCAUGGAGAAUGUUGCUGGGUCCUGUGACUGUCACCACCCAUACGCUCUGGUCCAUACAGCUUUCUUCUUAAACUCUGGGAGAACUCUCAGGGAUAGCAGGGUGGCUAGGAGGAAAAGAACACAGGCAGACUGAUGCACUUGACACAGCUAUGCUUUGUCUGAAAAUAUCAUUUUGAUCAAAAAGGUGUCAAAGCAGUAAAUGAGAAAUUUUGCAGAACCAUUGAUGUUUGGCAUGCUAGUGAUAAUUAUUUUUCUUAAUGUCAUUACUAUUUACAUGAGAUGCUGCCUCUGUAACAAUUUACUUUAAACUUGUGUUCUUUUAGACAUGAACUGGUUUAUCUCCAUUAAGUGUUUAAUUAAAGAGAAGCCCUUACACC